rnacentral:rRNA from 1 species
AUGAACGCUAGCGACAGGCUUAACACAUGCAAGUCGAGGGGUAACAGGGUAGCAAUACCGCUGACGACCGGCGCACGGGUGAGUAACGCGUAUGCAACCUGCCUAUAACUGGGGAAUAGCUCCCUGAAAGGGGAAUUAACACCGCAUAACACUAUUGAUUCGCAUGGAUUGGUAGUUAAAUGUAGCGAUACAGGUUAUAGAUGGGCAUGCGCGACAUUAGCUAGUUGGUGAGGUAACGGCUCACCAAGGCUACGAUGUCUAGGGGUUCUGAGAGGAAGGUCCCCCACACUGGUACUGAGACACGGACCAGACUCCUACGGGAGGCAGCAGUGAGGAAUAUUGGUCAAUGGGCGCAAGCCUGAACCAGCCAUGUCGCGUGCAGGAAGACUGCCCCUAUGGGUUGUAAACUGCUUUUAUAGUAGAAGAAACACAUCUACGUGUAGAUGUCUGCCAGUAUACUAUGAAUAAGCAUCGGCUAACUCCGUGCCAGCAGCAGC